AGCGAACGCUGGCGGCAGGCCUAAUACAUGCAAGUCGAACGGUCUCUUCGGAGGCAGUGGCGGACGGGUGAGUAACGCGUGGGAAUAUGCCCUUUGGUACGGAACAACUGAGGGAAACUUCAGCUAAUACCGUAUGUGCCCUUCGGGGAAAGAUUUAUCGCCAUUGGAGUAGCCCGCGUUGGAUUAGGUAGUUGGUGGGGUAAAGGCCUACCAAGCCUACGAUCCAUAGCUGGUCUGAGAGGAUGAUCAGCCACACUGGGACUGAGACACGGCCCAGACUCCUACGGGAGGCAGCAGUAGGGAAUCUUGCGCAAUGGGCGAAAGCCUGACGCAGCCAUGCCGCGUGAAUGAUGAAGGUCUUAGGAUUGUAAAAUUCUUUCACCGGGGAAGAUAAUGACGGUACCCGGAGAAGAAGCCCCGGCUAACUUCGUG
rnacentral:rRNA from 1 species